CAAGACUCAGGAGAAAAUAAUGAAAGAAACCUGCCUGUGCACAGCAAUUGUCUGAAGCAUUGGUAAACACAGGGAAAACCUUCUGGAAGAAUGUGGGAGAGCAUCUGUGAGUCCUGCAAGGGGGCUGCAACCUCCCAGGGUCAGUGAUGGAGGCAACAGCAGCCGCGUUUGGCUGAAAUCACAGAGAUCAAUACAUUGAAAGAGCCCGCAGCAGAAUCAAGAGCAGACAAGAGGGCAUUGCGAAAAUCUGUCACUUGAAAAGAGCUGAAGCAGAUAGAUCUGAAGCUAAUGUGCAGCACCCUGUGCCUUGCCUGGUGUUUGAGGUGGGAAUCCUGCUGUGGGACAUCUGUGUCCUUCCCAUGGAGGGUCCCAGAGGAACUUCCCAGGCCUCU